rnacentral:rRNA from 2 species
GUCGAACGAACUCUGGUAUUGAUUGGUGCUUGCAUCAUGAUUUACAUUUGAGUGAGUGGCGAACUGGUGAGUAACACGUGGGAAACCUGCCCAGAAGCGGGGGAUAACACCUGGAAACAGAUGCUAAUACCGCAUAACAACUUGGACCGCAUGGUCCGAGCUUGAAAGAUGGCUUCGGCUAUCACUUUUGGAUGGUCCCGCGGCGUAUUAGCUAGAUGGUGGGGUAACGGCUCACCAUGGCAAUGAUACGUAGCCGACCUGAGAGGGUAAUCGGCCACAUUGGGACUGAGACACGGCCCAAACUCCUACGGGAGGCAGCAGUAGGGAAUCUUCCACAAUGGACGAAAGUCUGAUGGAGCAACGCCGCGUGAGUGAAGAAGGGUUUCGGCUCGUAAAACUCUGUUGUUAAAGAAGAACAUAUCUGAGAGUAACUGUUCAGGUAUUGACGGUAUUUAACCAGAAAGCCACGGCUAACUACGUGCCAGCAGCCGCGGUAAUACGUAGGUGGCAAGCGUUGUCCGGAUUUAUUGGGCGUAAAGCGAGCGCAGGCGGUUUUUUAAGUCUGAUGUGAAAGCCUUCGGCUCAACCGAAGAAGUGCAUCGGAAACUGGGAAACUUGAGUGCAGAAGAGGACAGUGGAACUCCAUGUGUAGCGGUGAAAUGCGUAGAUAUAUGGAAGAACACCAGUGGCGAAGGCGGCUGUCUGGUCUGUAACUGACGCUGAGGCUCGAAAGUAUGGGUAGCAAACAGGAUUAGAUACCCUGGUAGUCCAUACCGUAAACGAUGAAUGCUAAGUGUUGGAGGGUUUCCGCCCUUCAGUGCUGCAGCUAACGCAUUAAGCAUUCCGCCUGGGGAGUACGGCCGCAAGGCUGAAACUCAAAGGAAUUGACGGGGGCCCGCACAAGCGGUGGAGCAUGUGGUUUAAUUCGAAGCUACGCGAAGAACCUUACCAGGUCUUGACAUACUAUGCAAAUCUAAGAGAUUAGACGUUCCCUUCGGGGACAUGGAUACAGGUGGUGCAUGGUUGUCGUCAGCUCGUGUCGUGAGAUGUUGGGUUAAGUCCCGCAACGAGCGCAACCCUUAUUAUCAGUUGCCAGCAUUAAGUUGGGCACUCUGGUGAGACUGCCGGUGACAAACCGGAGGAAGGUGGGGAUGACGUCAAAUCAUCAUGCCCCUUAUGACCUGGGCUACACACGUGCUACAAUGGAUGGUACAACGAGUUGCGAACUCGCGAGAGUAAGCUAAUCUCUUAAAGCCAUUCUCAGUUCGGAUUGUAGGCUGCAACUCGCCUACAUGAAGUCGGAAUCGC